CGAAGCCUGACGGAGCAAUACCGCGUGAGGGAAGAAGGCUUUUGGGUUGUAAACCUCUUUUGUCAGGGAAGAAGAAUUGACGAUACCUGAAGAAAAAGCAUCGGUUAACUCCGUGCCAGCAGCCGCGGUAAUACGGAGGAUGCAAGCGUUAUCCGGAAUCAUUGGGCGUAAAGGGUCCGCAGGUGGCGAAUAAAGUCUGCUGUUAAAGACCGGGGCUAAACUCCGGAAAGCAGUGGAAACUGAUUAGCUAGAGUACGGUAGGGGUAGAGGGAAUUCCCAGUGUAGCGGUGAAAUGCGUAGAUAUUGGGAAGAACACCGGUGGCGAAAGCGCUCUACUAGGCCGAAACUGACACUGAGGGACGAAAGCUAGGGUAGCGAAAGGGAUUAGAUACCCCUGUAGUCUUAGCGGUAAACGAUGGAUGCUAGGUGUAGCUUGUAUCGACCCGAGCUGUGCCGAAGCUAACGCGAUAAGUAUCCCGCCUGGGGAGUACGCACGCAAGUGUGAAACUCAAAGGAAUUGACGGGGGCCCGCACAAGCGGUGGAGUAUGUGGUUUAAUUCGAUGCAACGCGAAGAACCUUACCAGGGCUUGACAUGUCGCGAAUCUAGCGGAAACGUUAGAGUGCCUUAGGGAAUGCGAACACAGGUGGUGCAUGGCUGUCGUCAGCUCGUGUCGUGAGAUGUUGGGUUAAGUCCCGCAACGAGCGCAACCCUCGUCCUUAGUUGCCAAUAUUAAGUUAGGCACUCUAGGGAGACUGCCGGGGACAACUCGGAGGAAGGUGGGGAUGACGUCAAGUCAGCAUGCCCCUUACGUCCUGGGCGACACACGUACUACAAUGGUUGGGACAAAGGGCAGCAAGCUCGCGAGAGUAAGCGAAUCUCAUCAAACCCAGCCACAGUUCAGAUUGCAGGCUGCAACUCGCCUGCAUGAAGUAGGAAUCGCUAGUAAUCGCAGGUCAGCAUACUGCGGUGAAUUCGUUCCCGGGCCUUGUACACACCGCCCGUCACACCAUGGAAGCUGGCUACGCCCGAAGUCGUUACCCUAACCCGGUUUUGGGAGGGGGAUGCCGAAGGUAGAGCUAGUGACUGGGGUGAAGUCGUAACAAGGUAGCCGUACCGGAAGGUGUGGCUGGAUCACCUCCUUUACAGGGAGACCUAGUCUAAUUACCAAUAGAUGAAAAAGUUGGUAAUUCGCAGCAAUCCUUAGGUCGUGAGGGGAGCAAGAAAAAACUUUCAAACUGUAAUGGGUGAGGGUACUCGGGCUAUUAGCUCAGGUGGUUAGAGCGCACCCCUGAUAAGGGUGAGAUCCCUGGUUCAAGUCCAGGAUGGCCCACCUGAAAUACACAGGCAUCCUGCCUGUGCCACAAAAAAAGGAAAAAAUUUUAGCAUUGUCUCUUGUAAUCAAGAGCAAGAGAUAAUGCUGGAAUAGAUUCCUGCAAGAGCCUUGAAAACUGCAUAGAACUAGAAAGAAAAAGUCAGGUAGAAAAUCCUACAAGCUAGAGCUAGAAGGAGCAAAAGGU
rnacentral:misc_RNA from 1 species